rnacentral:sRNA from 1 species
UUGCUCGAUUUGCUGGGGGAUUAAUUCAACCCACCAUCCCCAAAGAAAAUAUUAAACGAGUUGCCGAUGUCGCAACCGGAACAGGGGCCUGGUUGAUUGAUACCGCAAAGGAAUUAAAUAACCCAACGAAUACAUAUCAUGGGUUUGACAUAUCGGUGGCAUCGUUCCCCUCAGAAAUCCCAAGUGACACGGGAAAGAUUAGCUUCCUGGAACACAAUGCACUAGAACGCUUUCCAAUUGAGUUUCAUGGUCAAUUCGACUUGAUAAACAUCCGUAUGGUUGUACAGGCAUUCAAAUCUGCUGAAGUACCAAAGGUGAUAUCAAACUUGAUGGAAAUUCUCCGGCCUGGUGGUUUCCUUCAAUGGGGAGAUCUUCUAUGGAAGGAC